rnacentral:rRNA from 1 species
AGAGUUUGAUCCUGGCUCAGGAUGAACGCUAGCGGCAGGCCUAACACAUGCAAGUCGAGGGGCAACAGGGGUAGCAAUACUUGCUGGCGACCGGCGCACGGGUGAGUAACGCGUAUGCAACCUACCCAUAACAAGGGGAUAGCUUUCGGAAACGGAAAUUAAUACCCUAUAGUAUCCCAAAGUCGCAUGGCUUAAGGAUUAAAACUACGGUGGUUAUGGAUGGGCAUGCGUGCCAUUAGCUAGUUGGCGGGGUAACGGCCCACCAAGGCGAUGAUGGCUAGGGGGUCUAAAAGGAUGAUCCCCCACACUGGUACUGAGACACGGACCAGACUCCUACGGGAGGCAGCAGUGAGGAAUAUUGGUCAAUGGGCGAGAGCCUGAACCAGCCAUGCCGCGUGCAGGAAGACGGCCCUACGGGUUGUAAACUGCUUUUGUGUGGGAAGAAAACGCACUACGUGUAGUGCACUGACGGUACCAUAUGAAUAAGCAUCGGCUAACUCCGUGCCAGCAGCCGCGGUAAUACGGAGGAUGCGAGCGUUAUCCGGAUUUAUUAGGUUUAAAGGGUGUGUAGGCGGACGAUUAAGUCAGUGGUGAAAUCUCAGAGCUUAACUCUGAAACUGCCAUAGAUACUGGUUGUCUUGAGUACAGUUGAAGUAGGCGGAAUGUGUAAUGUAGCGGUGAAAUGCUUAGAUAUUACACAGAACACCGAUUGCGAAGGCAGCUUGCUAAGCUGUUACUGACGCUGAUGCACGAAAGCGUGGGGAGCGAACAGGAUUAGAUACCCUGGUAGUCC